ACAACGGAGAGUUUGAUCCUGGCUCAGGAUGAACGCUAGCGGCAGGCUUAACACAUGCAAGUC
rnacentral:rRNA from 1 species